GAAAUGCGAUAAGUAAUGUGAAUUGCAGAGUUUUGUGAAUCAUCGAAUCUUUGAACGCACAUUGCGCCCCUCGGUAUUCCGACGGGCAUGCCUGUCCGAGCGUCGUUCGCAACACAUCGAGUCACAUACUCGGUCUUGGGCCCCGUCCCGCCCGUGGGACGGGCCUCGAAGUCCGCGGCGGCCCCGGGCGUCCGUCGGAGCGUUUUCGAACGUGACCGCUCCGCGCGGUGCGACCCGGGUUCCGGCCCACCGGGCGAGUGCCCCCCCCACACACAAGAGGUUUGACCUCGGAUCAGGCAGGGCUACCCGCUGAACUUAAGC
rnacentral:misc_RNA from 1 species